AACCCCUUUCAAGAAACGCUCAGACUUUAAUAAUGUUAUGGUGGGUUUGAAGAUAAAAGAUACUGCGAAGUCAAUCAGGCUGAGGUGUUGCAGGAAAGGAUAUGUGGGAGUCAAGACACAAGCAUGAUGAAGAGUUUGAUGCCUUGUUUCAAACAUUGUCUGAUGGCACAUACUAUGUUCUUCUCGUUAAACCUCACACCGCUGCAAAAGUCUCAAUUUCUUCUGCCAAAGUUGUUUUAAUAGAGCCCAAAAUCUUCCAGAGAACCUGAAUUCCUUCUGUCUUCCUGAAUGUAUUCAUGAACCAGCACAUGGUUCUGUGCUGAGAGAGAAGAAAGCUAAACCCAGAAACCUAGUCCCCAAUGGUUUCCUAAAAUAAAUAAUUAUUAAUUGUAACACAAUAAUUUAAUUAGUUAAUUAAUUCUUAAAAUAAAU
rnacentral:lncRNA from 1 species